rnacentral:tRNA from 14 species
GCCGUUGUAGCUCAGUCGGUAGAGCAACUGAUUCGUAAUCAGUAGGUCAGAGGUUCGAUUCCCCUCAACGGCACCA